GAGUUUGAUCCUGGCUCAGGAUGAACGCUGGCGGCGUGCCUAAUACAUGCAAGUCGAGCGAACGGACGAGAAGCUUGCUUCUCUGAUGUUAGCGGCGGACGGGUGAGUAACACGUGGAUAACCUACCUAUAAGACUGGGAUAACUUCGGGAAACCGGAGCUAAUACCGGAUAAUAUUUUGAACCGCAUGGUUCAAAAGUAAAAGACGGUCUUGCUGUCACUUAUAGAUGGAUCCGCGCUGCAUUAGCUAGUUGGUAAGGUAACGGCUUACCAAGGCAACGAUGCAUAGCCGACCUGAGAGGGUGAUCGGCCACACUGGAACUGAGACACGGUCCAGACUCCUACGGGAGGCAGCAGUAGGGAAUCUUCCGCAAUGGGCGAAAGCCUGACGGAGCAACGCCGCGUGAGUGAUGAAGGUCUUCGGAUCGUAAAACUCUGUUAUUAGGGAAGAACAUAUGUGUAAGUAACUGUGCACAUCUUGACGGUACCUAAUCAGAAAGCCACGGCUAACUACGUG
rnacentral:rRNA from 1 species